rnacentral:misc_RNA from 1 species
AAGUCGUAACAAGGUUUCCGUAGGUGAACCUGCGGAAGGAUCAUUAACACGUAUCCACGUAUCAACCCCAUGUGCUCUUUUGGUCUCGUACCCUGCCAGUGCAGAGAAAGUUGGACAGAAUUGGUCGAAUGGUGAGAGGGCAGAGAGUCAAAUCUCUGACCUCGUGGCUAGUUCUGUCUGUGUGCUUUCUCGCCUUUCAUGCUGGUCAGGCUUGUGUUCUUUUCACCAUUGGAAUCAAACCUUUUUUAACAUUUAAACCCCUAGUACCAUUUGUUACUGAAUCAAUGUUUGAAGAAACCUUCCCUCUCAGUCUUUCAUUAGGCUGUCUGGGUUUGGUUGCUUUAAAUAACGAUACGAAACGCUUGACAACUCUUAGCAACGGAUAUCUUGGCUCUC